UACGUAGGGCGCAAGCGUUGUCCGGAAUUAUUGGGCGUAAAGAGCUCGUAGGCGGCUUGUCACGUCGGGUGUGAAAGCCCGGGGCUUAACCCCGGGUCUGCAUUCGAUACGGGCAGGCUAGAGUGUGGUAGGGGAGAUCGGAAUUCCUGGUGUAGCGGUGAAAUACGCAGAUAUCAGGAGGAACACCGGUGGCGAAGGCGGAUCUCUGGGCCAUUACUGACGCUGAGGAGCGAAAGCGUGGGGAGCGAACAGG
rnacentral:rRNA from 1 species